rnacentral:pre_miRNA from 1 species
UCACUACUCCUUCCGUUCCGAAUUACAUGUCGCACGUAUGGAUGUAUCUAGAUGUAUUUUAGUUCUAGAUACAUUUAUUUUAGCGACGAGUAAUUUGAAACGGAUAGAGUACUUG